UACGUAGGGUGCGAGCGUUGUCCGGAAUUAUUGGGCGUAAAGAGCUUGUAGGCGGUUUGUCGCGUCUGCUGUGAAAAUCCGGGGCUCAACUCCGGACUUGCAGUGGGUACGGGCAGGCUAGAAUGUGGUAGGGGAGACUGGAAUUCCUGGUGUAGCGGUGGAAUGCGCAGAUAUCAGGAGGAACACCGAUGGCGAAGGCAGGUCUCUGGGCCACUACUGACGCUGAGAAGCGAAAGCAUGGGGAGCGAACAGG
rnacentral:rRNA from 1 species